rnacentral:lncRNA from 1 species
UUUUUGUAGAGGCAGGAUCGAGGGUUAAGCUCCUGGCGCACGAGGGUGCCCAUGGAGAUGUAGGGCACCGCAAGGAGCUCGGCGAGGCGCGCGGCGUGGGCGUGCCUCUGCGCGCCGGGGCUCCCCAUGAACACCCACUGCACCCCCCUCCGCCCCCUCUCCCCGAGCGCGUCCGCGUCCGCCGCGCGCCGCCGCCGCUCCCGCUCCGCCGCCUCCUCCUCCUCCUCCCACUCCGUCCAAUACCCGAUCUCCUCCUCCUCCUCCACGGCGACGGCGGCAGCGGAGAAGCGCCGGCGCGGCGGCGCCGGCGCAGCGCCGCGAACCCGGCGAGCUAGGGAUCGCGCGGCGUAACUCCGGAGGAUCCCGGCCAUGGCGAUGGCGAUGGAGAGAUUGGGGCUUUGAGUAUAAGGGUUUUGGGGUUCAAGGAUCGGGGAUGCGGGGGUUUUGGCGUUCGCUCGCUCUUCCCUGUUUUUU